UGAGGAAUAUUGGACAAUGGGCGCAAGCCUGAUCCAGCAAUGCCGCGUGCAGGAUGAAGGCCUUCGGGUUGUAAACUGCUUUUGUACGGAGCGAAAAGGUCUGCCCUAAUACGGUGGGCUCAUGACGGUACCGUAAGAAUAAGCACCGGCUAACUACGUGCCAGCAGCCGCGGUAAUACGUAGGGUGCGAGCGUUAAUCGGAAUUACUGGGCGUAAAGCGUGCGCAGGCGGUUAUAUAAGACAGAUGUGAAAUCCCCGGGCUCAACCUGGGACCUGCAUUUGUGACUGUAUAGCUAGAGUACGGUAGAGGGGGAUGGAAUUCCGCGUGUAGCAGUGUAAUGCGUAGAUAUGCGGAGGAACACCGAUGGCGAAGGCAAUCCCCUGGACCUGUACUGACGCUCAUGCACGAAAGCGUGGGGAGCAAACA
rnacentral:rRNA from 1 species